UUUUAUUGUAUUUUAAGUUUUAUAUCGUUUUAGUUUGGUUCACUUCUUUUGUAUCAAAUACCUUAAACAAGAGUGCUUAUAUCUUUUUCCCCCAGCCUUCUGCAGAAUUCCACAUUAAACAGGAUGAAGAAUAGGUUGUUAGCAGACUGAGGUACUUGGGGCAACAUUUCGUACACAACAGGAGGGAGAAACGACUCCAGG
rnacentral:lncRNA from 1 species